UAAACGUAAAUUUGCUGCGGAACUUCGUUGGCAUUUUGUUACAAUGAAAGUUUUUAAUAUGGCAAAUGUUUUAUAAUAAUACGCAUUGAUUAUAUUAAAUAUUUUUUCGUAUGUAUGUAUGUAAAUAAAAAGUGUGCACAUGGCUAUGUAAGCGUAUAUACUUUAUAAUUUAUUAGAGGCAGCUCCUCGGUCAUCGCACUACCCCUCCGUUUACCAAUUUUCAUGGCAUAAAAAUCCAUGUUAUCUGCGGUACAGCGCGCCGUGCGGCCUAUCGCUUGAAAUUUUCGAAAGCAUAAAGGAUUACGAAGAAUUUUCCUACGCAAACAAUUCUUCUUCUUCUUUAUUGUCGUAGCACCCCGCUUAUAUAGCCGAGUUAUAGUCCAGUUAACAACAGCGCGCCAGCCGUUCUUCUUGUUUGACGCUAAUUGGAGAUUCUAAGUGUAGCCACAAGGUCCUUCUCCACUUGUUCUUUCCAUCGAAGUCAUUUCUAGUCCAUUCGGACGACAUGACCUAGCCAGCAUAGCCACUGUCUAUUAACACGCUGAA